AUUGAACGCUGGCGGCAUGCUUUACACAUGCAAGUCGAACGGUAACAGGUUAAGCUGACGAGUGGCGAACGGGUGAGUAAUGCAUCGGAACGUGCCCGAUCGUGGGGGAUAACGCAGCGAAAGCUGCGCUAAUACCGCAUACGAUCUGAGGGUGAGAGCGGGGGACCGUAAGGCCUCGCGCGAUCGGAGCGGCCGAUGUCAGAUUAGGUAGUUGGUGGGGUAAAGGCUCACCAAGCCGACGAUCUGUAGCUGGUCUGAGAGGACGACCAGCCACACUGGGACUGAGACACGGCCCAGACUCCUACGGGAGGCAGCAGUGGGGAAUUUUGGACAAUGGGCGAAAGCCUGAUCCAGCAAUGCCGCGUGCAGGAAGAAGGCCUUCGGGUUGUAAACUGCUUUUGUACGGAGCGAAAAGGCUCUCUCUAAUACAGGGGGCUCAUGACGGUACCGUAAGAAUAAGCACCGGCUAACUACGUGCCAGCCGCCGCCGUAACAC
rnacentral:rRNA from 1 species